ensembl:lncRNA
CACGGACAGGGAGCUGAAGGCGGCAGUGCUGAUGGAGCUGAAGGACUGCAUCGCCCUGCGCAACCAAGAAUUCAAGGGGAACUCACAGAACGACGCCCAUGAGUUCCUCUCGGAGUGUCUUCUGGGCCUCAAGGACAUUGGGCACACCCUCCAGAUGGGGGAUGUGUCCUAUCAGUGCCCAGUGGACACUCUGCUCUCCUUCCAGCUCCAGCACAUAAGAUCUUGCAGAAGCUGUGGAGUUGAGAGCAGGAGGGAGGAGAUCUCCACCUACCUCUCCCUCCAAAUGGUUGCGCAGGGCACAGUCCAAAACAGCCUGGAGCUUUACUUCAACGAAUCAGAAGUUGAGUACAGGUGCGAGCAGUGUGGGG